rnacentral:rRNA from 1 species
AUUGAACGCUGGCGGCAGGCCUAACACAUGCAAGUCGAGCGAGCGGCGGACGGGUGAGUAAUGCCUGGGAAUUGCCCAGUCGAGGGGGAUAACAGUUGGAAACGACUGCUAAUACCGCAUACGAUUGGAUUGCCCAGGUGGGAUUAGCUAGUUGGUGAGGUAAUGGCUCACCAAGGCGACGAUCCCUAGCUGGUCUGAGAGGAUGAUCAACACAACUUGAACGGUGACCCGGGCCCAGAUCCUGCGGGAGGCCGCAGGGGGGAAUAUUUCCAAAGGGGGGGAACCCCGAUGCAACCCUGCCGCGGGUGUAAAGGAGGCCUUCGGGUUUUAAAGCACUUUCAGCGAGGAGGCGUUACUCGCAGAAGAAGCACCGGCUAACUCCGUGCCAGCAGCCGCGGUAAUUC